rnacentral:rRNA from 1 species
AAAUUGAAGAGUUUGAUCAUGGCUCAGAUUGAACGCUGGCGGCAGGCCUAACACAUGCAAGUCGAACGGUAACAGGAAGCAGCUUGCUGCUUUGCUGACGAGUGGCGGACGGGUGAGUAAUGUCUGGGAAACUGCCUGAUGGAGG